AGAAGGGCUUCCGCAGCGGUAACGUUGGGGGGCCUUUUUCUUUUGC
rnacentral:antisense_RNA from 1 species